rnacentral:misc_RNA from 1 species
UUCUGCCUCAAAGGGAUAUUCUUCAAAUGCUUCUUCAUUUUCCAAAGCCUCAGAUGCCACAGAACCUUUCAGUUUGACAAUACUAGUUUCAGCACCAGGACCUAUGCUCAUCAGAGUUCAAAGUAGCCAAAUCCUUGAAUUUGGCAGGACUACUAGAGCUUUUCGUCAAGAACUGAGAACGCCGAGGCUUUUCUUCCUUUACGAGAGGUGUCCCUUCAGUUGUGCUCUUGCUGUGGGCAUAAGUCCUCACCUGUGUGCGAUUUUCCAUUUUGUUGACUCCAGAAGAUGGCUUUGUGUUCUCUUUUCUGAAAUCAGAGAAAUUUGGAACUGAUUGUGCAAGAGUAUUUUCUGAUUGCACUCUUCGCUUCCCAGAACUGGGGUUGGAAAUUUUGACUAAUGACCGUGGAACUGGUGCUGCCGUUGUGCGAGGGGUAGAUGAAGAGAAAUUUCUGUUUAGCACCAACUUCUUGUUUUGGGAGCUUCUAGAAGCACCAUCCGUUAAAGACACCUCACCUAAUGAUCUAUCUUGUCCAUAAUAUUUCUGUUCAAGAAAUUCAGAAGGAUCCUCAUCCUCCUCACUCUGAAUGGAAUCCACCAGAUGCUGCUCUCUCUUGAUGCUAGAACGAGAGUGGUAUGUUCUGAGCUUCUCUGCACGUUGACGAACACUCGCACCUGAGUCCAGUCUGUCCGCAGACCCAGAAAAUUUGGCCUUCAUUUCAGCUCUAUUCCGCUCAAGGCUAUCCUGCAUUGCCUUCAACUUGGCUUCCUUCUCUGCUCUUUUUGUACCCCACUCUUCCCUCAACUUUGCAUCUCUUUUCUGCAUGUAUUUCUCAUAGAACUUUCCUCUAGAAUCAUCUGAAAAACUCAUCUCAGAGAAAUUCUGUCUCAAAGAACCGCCACAGUCCUGAUCUACUAUCUUCAUUGGUGGAGUACUAAAAUUGGCAUUAUCACUAGCACUCACAAUAGGUUCAGCCUCUGUCUUCUUGUCCUGAACCUGUGCAGGAGAUAUUUCCAAUGCUGUCAGUUUUUUGUACUGUGAAUUUAUUGCCUGUUCAACCUGCAACUCAGCAGGCUUGCUUUUCCUUGUAGAACCAGAUUGAUCUCCAGGAACCCGAAGCUUGUGUUCAGCAAAAAGUUUUUCAAGCUCGUUUGCCUUCAUUUUCAGCUCCUCAUUGAGCUCCUGAUUCCCCUUAGAUUGCCUUACCCUCUGAACUUGCUCUACUGAUGGUGCUGCCACGGUACUAAAGCUCUGCUGAAUCUCAGAAACAUUUUUAUUAGGAAAGACUGGCUUGUUAUUUCCAUAAGUAGAGCCAGUCUCAUCUCUUCUGCCUUUCAGCUUCAUAGUCUGUUCUGGACCUGCAGAAAAAGGUUUCUGGACCUUCAUUCGUGGAACUUCAAGAUCUUCCACCUUUGUUAGUUCCUCCUUUGUCACUUGCUCAACUUCACCUGUAGAUGACCUCCACUGCUGCGGAGAAACUGACUGAUCACUCUCAAACUCUUUAUAUGACCCUUCCCUUAAUUUCACUCCAAAACCACCUUCAAGCUGUCCAGAAAGAGGUCGAGUAUGAGUCCGAGAACCCCUUACCAGCGACUGACUGAAUGGCUGAUCCCUUGCUUUAACAUCCUCAACUCCAUUCCCAGAUUCAACAUCCCCCACCCCACCUACAGAACUUCCAAUCUGAGUCUGCAAUCCAACCUGGUUGUUCACUCCAACAGUCUCCCCUAUAUCUGAAUUACCUCUCCACUUUCCCUCAACAACCCGAUGACCUUCUACUCCACUACUCUUCUCAUCUGCACCCAAGGUACCCCUAAACUUCUCCCUAACCCCCAGAUCAACAGUGGCCUGCUCAGCUCUACCUGUAAAUGACCUCAAUUGGGCCUGAGACCCUGCUUGAUCUUUUAAAUUCACCUUCCCCUUUAACCCCACUUCCUCAUCCUUCCCCACAAAUCCACCAACAUGUGUCUGCCACUCACCCUGACCUUUGAACCCAGAAACACUCGUGGCAUCAGACUUAACUGAAUUCGCUGUAUCGUUCAACACCUUCUGAUCCUUUGUAUCUACAGAUGGGGUAGGAAACACGUUAUUUUUACUUAAUACAGAAGAUGAAGAAGGUGUACACAGAGGGCUAUCUGUAAAGCCAUUGUCCUUCUUGUCAUUGCCUAGGUCAAUGCUCAUAUCACUUGCACCACUCCAUCUCCUCAAUACGGCCUUUUCAACAGCAGGUGCUGAAGAUACAUCAGAAGAGGGUCUCCUCAGUUCUGCAGAUUUCCCUCCAGCUACAGGUUUACCACCAGAGUUCUCCUUCUGCUUAUUCUCAAACAGGUUGAUCCUGUCCUGCACACUUAGUCGCCUUGCAGGUUGGCUUGGUUGACUAGUUGAUGACUCAGUAGUAGGCUCCUCUUUCUUAUCUUCUUCCUUGUUCUCACCCUGGACAGUUGGUUGAGCACAUACUGAUGAAUUGGGAUCAAUUGACAUGUCAGAUCCCCAUGAAGCCCGAACCACUUGCUCCUCGACACCUGGCUUCCAUGGAUUGGUCAGGUCUGGUCUUCUCUCACACAGUGAGAUAAAUCUGUUACAAGCUUCAUUCAAGCGAUGGGCACCAAAACAAUCUGAAAAUAGCUGGAGCUCUGACACAGUGUCAGGGUUAAAACCAGCAGCUAAUGCAUGAGCAAGGGAAGUGGUUAGAUCCUGCUUAGCUGCAGUAAGCCGUACAUCAAUAGCCCGCAGAAGCUCCUUCUUCGUUGCAUCAGCUCCUGCCACCACUCCUGGUGCAUCCCCACCUAAAGCAUCAGAAAGCUGAUCUCUGCCCCCCUGAGAGUAGAUUCUUUGUGCUGCUUCCAACUGAGACAUCUCUGCAUCAAAUGUAUUGACCAUCUCUAAUACCUCAGGUGUACUGACAAACCGCACAAAUCUCUCAAGGGUUCCUUUUGUAAACCAAGUCUCAGCAUUUUUAUGUCUUUGAACUUCAAGCUUGAUUGAAUGAACUGCCCGUGCAACCUGCUCUUCAGCAACCUUUAAAUGAGUCACAAAUGGCUUUACUAAUCCUGAAGCAAGCUUCUCUGUAUUUCCAUUACUUGACACAAACAACUCGCAACGUGAAUGCUUUGGGGACAGUUGAAACACAGCAUAGUCAAGAGGCAUGUCAUUUUUCAUUUUCUCUCUACAAUAUUUAUGCUAUGACUUUGUUCUCUAACCUCCUCAUAGAACCAGAUGUUCUCCCCUGUGCAUGAAACCAAGAUCCUCCUACUCUUCAAUUAAUGAAGUCCCAGAACUGGCAGAACUUUAAUAUAAAAAAUCCUGCAAUGCAAAUUUUCUGAGAGACCAAUCAGUAAGAUCUCGGAUUGGUGAACAGAACAUAUGUUUCGGAUAGUUCAAAUGGGUACCAGCAUUUGGGUUUUAUCUAUUCUUUCUAUAAUCUAUAUUUGUGUUCUUUAUCAGAUUCUUUUUGGGGGAUUUUGGGGUUUUUUUAGGCUCUAACAACCCUGAAAAAUGACAAGAUGGUUUUUGCUUUACUCAUCUCUCAAAUGCCAAUCUUUUCUUCUCUUUCCUUCUCUUUCGCUUUUAGCCUUUUGCUAGCUUCCCCUCUCUAAGCAAUACAGUAGAGAGAGAAAGUGAAAGGAGACUGUUCUCUUUCAGACCAAUCAAGUUUUUGUUAUUAAUUUGAGUG